UACGGGGGGGGCAAGCGUUGUUCGGAAUUACUGGGCGUAAAGGGCUCGUAGGCGGCCAACUAAGUCCGACGUGAAAUCCCCAGCUUAACCUGGGAACUGCGUCGGAUACUGGAUGGCUUGAAUUCGGGAGAGGGAUGCAGAAUUCCAGGUGUAGCGGUGAAAUGCGUAGAUAUCUGGAGGAAUCACCGGUGGCGAAGGCGGCAUCCU
rnacentral:rRNA from 1 species